GCAGCUGCUGAGCCUGCAUCAGAGCCAGACCUGUCAGGCAUAGCUCUCUAUCUCUCUACACCAGGCUGCUGUGCCUCUGCUUCCUUUUGUUGCUGUUGUCCCUGCCAGCUUUACUGAAACUCAUAAACAAAAGUGUUGCCAAGAGUAGCUUAGAAAAAACACAAGUAUUGGUAAAGCAAAAGGUGAGAAUGUGAUUGUGAGUGGAGGAAGAAAGAGAGCGGGAAAGAACCCUUGUGGCACUGUACAAUGUACAGUGUACUCUUCACUGCUGCCACUCAGUCUCUGUCUCUCAGCUUCAUUUUCCACUAUUUUUUCCCCCUUAUUUUUUAGCCCUGCUUUUUUACUGUAGUUAUUUUAUUUACCUGAAAACACAUGUCAGGUUUUUGGAUAUUAGGCAUUAUUGCAGGCACAUCUGAAAGCUUGUGGAGUUUGAACUUUGAAUGGAGCUGUGAGUCUGUGAGCCAGUCCAAUCAACCAUGAUUGCUCUCAAGGUUGAAAAGGUUAAAAAGUAUUCAAUGGUGUUAUUAGUUGCUAGUUUAAUAGUUAAAUAUAGUAAAAUUCUUUAAUGGGUCUAAAGCUUCCAGUGUAGUAGUGGCUGGCACUUGAUAAGGUUAGCACAUUCCUUUCUCCAGUCUUCACUGUAUUCAUUGAGGUUGGUGUUUGCAUGUACUAUUGGCAUCUUUGGUGUGCAAACUGAAGAUGGGCCCAUUGAUGAGAUGCUUGUGAAUGCAAAAGGAGGAAGCAGAAGAGGGAGGCCCCCACAUGUAAUAAGUUUUUCUUUCUGGCGUCAUCUAGUCUGUGCAUUCACUGGGAGACCACCCUGAUCCUUUUCAAUUCAUCAGAGAUGUCAGCAAAUUCUGAAGCCUCUGGUUUAUCAUGUUAUAUCUGCAUAUGUAUGUAAGUCUGGUAAAUAGUGCAAGAGUUUUUCAGUUUGGGUGGGCCUCAGGCUCUACUUUGAAUCUGCAAGUCCACACAUGCUUUCUCUGGAACUCUGACGCCGGCCCACGUUUCGCAAUGGACAAAGUUUAACUACUACCAUUACUAAUUCUGAUGCUCCAUCUUAUUUAUUAUUAUUUAGGUUCUAUGAUGUUUUGUCAUGCUUUAGUACACAACAUUUUUUGGGUUUUUUUUUACCAAGUUUGCCACCAUCACAAUUACAAUUAUCAAACAGUGAGUUAUUUGACAUUUAUUCAAAUUGUUUUUUAUACAUGAUUGAGAUUUAAAUAA